AGUGAACGCUGGCGGUAGGCCUAACACAUGCAAGUCGAACGGCAGCACAGUAAGAGCUUGCUCUUACGGGUGGCGAGUGGCGGACGGGUGAGGAAUACAUCGGAAUCUAUUUUUUCGUGGGGGAUAACGUAGGGAAACUUACGCUAAUACCGCAUACGACCUACGGGUGAAAGCAGGGGAUCUUCGGACCUUGCGCGAUUGAAUGAGCCGAUGUCGGAUUAGCUAGUUGGCGGGGUAAAGGCCCACCAAGGCGACGAUCCGUAGCUGGUCUGGGAGGAUGAUCAGCCACACUGGAACUGAGACACGGUCCAGACUCCUACGGGAGGCAGCAGUGGGGAAUAUUGGACAAUGGGCGCAAGCCUGAUCCAGCCAUACCGCGUGGGUGAAGAAGGCCUUCGGGUUGUAAAGCCCUUUUGUUGGGAAAGAAAAGCAGCAGGUUAAUACCCCGCUGUUCUGACGGUACCCAAAGAAUAAGCACCGGCUAACUUCGUG
rnacentral:rRNA from 1 species